rnacentral:rRNA from 1 species
UUCCGGUUGAUCCCGCCGGAGGCUACCGCUAUUGGAGUUCGAUUAAGCCAUGCGAGUCGAGAGUCUUAGGGACUCGGCGUACCGCUCAGUAACACGUGGGUAACCUGCCCUAUGCUGGGGAAUAACCUCGGGAAACUGAGAAUAAUACCCCAUAGUUCACCACGCCUGGAACGGUGGGUGGAUGAAAGCUCCGGCGGCAUAGGAUGGGCCUGCGGCGUAUCAGGUUGUAGGGGGUGUAAUGUACCCUCUAGCCAUCUACGCGUACGGGUGUUGGGAGACAUCGCCCGGAGAUGGAUUCUGAGACACGAAUCCAGACCCUACGGGGUGCAGCAGGCGCGAAAACUUGGCAAUGCGAGCAAUCGUGACCAGGGAACUCCAAGUGCAUCGGGUAAGACCGAUGCUUUUCUUGACUCUUCAAAGGUCUUGGAAUAAGGGGUGGGUAAGGACGGUGCCAGCCGCCGCGGUAAUACCGGCGCCUCAAGUGGUAGUCGCUUUUAUUGGGCCUAAAACGUCCGUAGCCGGUUUGGUACAUUCGUGGGUAAAUCAAGGCGCUCAACGUCUUGAAUUCUGCGAGCACGGCCAGACUUGGGACCGGGUGAGGUGUGGGGUACUCUCAGGGUAGGGGUAAAAUCCUGUCAUCCUGAGAGGACCACCUGUUGCGAAGGCGCCACACUAGAACGGAUCCGACGGUCAGGGACGAAGCCUAGGGGCACGAACCGGAUUAGAUACCCGGGUAGUCCUAGGUGUAAACGCUGUGGACUUGAUGUUGGGAGUGCUCCGAGCACCCUCAGUGUCGAAGCGAAGGUGAUAAGUCCACUGCCUGGGGAGUACGGUCGCAAGGCUGAAACUUAAAGGAAUUGGCGGGGGAGCACUGCAACCUGAGGAUUGUGCGGUUUAAUUGGAUUCAACGCCGG